UACGUAGGGUGCAAGCGUUAAUCGGAAUUACUGGGCGUAAAGCGUGCGCAGGCGGUUAUGCAAGACAGAUGUGAAAUCCCCGGGCUUAACCUGGGAACUGCAUUUGUGACUGCAUAGCUGGAGUACGGCAGAGGGGGAUGGAAUUCCGCGUGUAGCAGUGAAAUGCGUAGAUAUGCGGAGGAACACCGAUGGCAAAGGCAGUCCCCUGGGCCUGUACUGACGCUCAUGCACGAAAGCGUGGGGAGCAAACAGG
rnacentral:rRNA from 1 species